GCUUAUCACCAUUCCAGAUUGAAUAUACCCGAUCUCGUCUGAUCUCGGAAGUCAAGCAAUCUCGGGCUUGGUUAGUACUUAGAUGGGUGACCG
rnacentral:rRNA from 1 species